GACGAACGCUGGCGGCGUGCUUAACACAUGCAAGUCGAACGGAAAGGCCCUGCUUUUGUGGGGUGCUCGAGUGGCGAACGGGUGAGUAACACGUGAGUAACCUGCCCUUGACUUUGGGAUAACUUCAGGAAACUGGGGCUAAUAUCGGAUAGGAGCUCCUGCUGCAUGGUGGGGGUUGGAAAGUUUCGGCGGUUGGGGAUGGACUCGCGGCUUAUCAGCCUGUUGGUGGGGUAGUGGCUUACCAAGGCUUUGACGGGUAGCCGGCCUGAGAGGGUGACCGGCCACAUUGGGACUGAGAGACGGCCCAGACUCCUACGGGAGGCAGCAGUGGGGAAUAUUGCACAAUGGGCGGAAGCGUGAUGCAGCAACGCCGCGUGCGGGAUGACGGCCUUCGGGUUGUAAACCGCUUUCGCCUGUGACGAAGCGUGAGUGACGGUAAUGGGUAAAGAAGCACCGGCUAACUACGUG
rnacentral:rRNA from 1 species